UGGUGGCAGCACAUCAGGCGACUUCAACGACACAUCGAUUCAUGAAGGGAUGCGAUUGUUCAGACGCACCUGUUCGUUUAGUAUAAAUAGGUUUAUCAUUGUGUUCAUGUUCGUGUUCGUAAGGGUUCUGACCAACAAUGGUAUCAGAGCACAUGUUUCAAAUCUGGGAAAAGGAAGAAGCUGAUUGAAUCAGAGCAUGGUUAAUCGAUUCGAAGAAGGAAAUGAUUUCUAUUCCAAGACGUCGACGGUGUUCGGUUUCGUCGUAAAAGGUCCAACAAAUCCAAAUACAUAGAUGAUUCUAAAAAGAAUUUCACUGCUGAUAGGAAAUGUGGUUUGAAAAGUGUUGCACCCACCAGUUGAGCAUCAUAUCCCCUUUCUAUGAACUGAUUUUGUAAGUCAUUUUUAGGGAUAGUUUCCAAACCUGCCAUGUCGUUUAUGUUUAUGUUGUGGAAAUGUUAUUUAAUAAAAAUGUUCCCCUUUAACUGUGGAGGUGAUUGUUUAGCACUUGUGUUUCGUAGCAGGAUAUCUACAUUUGCCCAAAAUUGGCAGAGGGUAGCCUGAUAGACUAGUGCAUUGAGGGUGAGUAUGGUAUGUUAUUUUGAUGAUGUAAGUGUCAAUAAUGGAGUGGAAGUCUGUGUUUUGGCCAUGUUUGACAAGGUAUGGUAAGUAGUUAUGGGGUGAUUUGAGAAUGAGAGCCUUAGAUGCAGGUUAUGAG
rnacentral:lncRNA from 1 species